rnacentral:rRNA from 1 species
AGUGAACGCUGGCGGUAGGCCUAACACAUGCAAGUCGAACGGCAGCACAGUAAUAGCUUGCUCUUACGGGUGGCGAGUGGCGGACGGGUGCGGAAUACAUCGGAAUCUACUUUUUCGUGGGGGAUAACGUAGGGAAACUUACGCUAUUACCGCAUACGACCUACGUGUGAAAUCAUGGGAUCUUCGGACCUUGCGCGAUUGAAUGAGCCGAUGUCGGAUUAGCUAGUUGGCGGGGUAAAGGCCCACCAAGGCGACGAUCCGUAGCUGGUCUGAGAGGAUGAUCAGCCACACUGGAACUGAGACACGGUCCAGACUCCUACGGGAGGCAGCAGUGGGGAAUAUUGGACAAUGGGCGAAAGCCUGAUCCAGCCAUACCGCGUGGGUGAAGAAGGCCUUCGGGUUGUAAAGCCCUUUUGUUGGGAAAGAAAAGCAGCAGGUUAAUACCCCGCUGUUCUGACGGUACCAAAAGAAUAAGCACCGGCUAACUUCGUG